AGCAGUAGCCGCGGUAAAACGGAGGGUGCAAGCGUUAAUCGGAAUUACUGGGCGUAAAGCGCACGUAGGCGGCUUUGUAAGUUAGAGGUGAAAGCCCGGAGCUCAACUCCGGAAUUGCCUUUAAGACUGCAGAGCUAGCAGGUGAGAGAGGUGAGUGGAAUUCCGAGUGUAGAGGUGAAAUUCGUAGAUAUUCGGAAGAACACCAGUGGCGAAGGCGGCUCACUGGCUCAUACUGGACGCUGAGGUGCGAAAGCGUGGGGAGCAAACAGGAUUAGAUACCCGGGUAGCCCUGUCUCUUAUACA
rnacentral:rRNA from 1 species